GGUUCCAUAGUGUAGCAGUUAGCAUGUCUGCUUUACACACAGAAGGUCCUGGGUUCACUACCCAGUGGAGCCA
rnacentral:tRNA from 1 species